CUACUGUAAUUUGGUUGUAUACUUUAAUUCGUAAGUUUUCUGCUAGGGGUGCUCAAUGCGGCUAAAUAUUCUGUCUAUAAAUGUACUUAUAAUAACUGGCAAACGUAGUUAACAUGUCAUUGCUUUACAAAAUAAGCAGAGCAUUGUUUUAUUGGACUUGCGUUAUUAAUGUAUGUGCUUUACUACUUCAUUAAAGGUUUUGAGACCUCACUGAUGAGCAGCAGCCCACUAGUAUCUUGCACUCUGUGCCGUUUAUCGGUUCGAAUUGUACGACGGGAAUAUUUGCAAACGGGGUGGUCGUUUCCUUUGAGCAGCAUCACGCAGGUUCGUUUUAAUUAGCAAUAAUAUUUCAGCCAGUUUAUGCGUCCAACAUUCGAUAGCCGCCACCAGGCGAACCUGUUUAAAGACGGUGAAAUUCAUCAGCUAUGGCGUUUCACUGGCAUAAUGGCGGCACGACUUCCAUCAUUAGUGAUCUUCCGCGUUAAUUAUCUUCCGCGUAAUGACAUGUUGCUUAGAAAAAAAUUUGCUAGCUAGCAUAAAAAUUCAUCACUGGAACCAAGUACAGUCUGCUUGGAGACUACCCACGAAUGUGGAUUAACGUUGCAGCCUCUGAGUUUGUGCACCGGUGAGUUAAGCAUUCCUUCGCAUUCUCAACUUUGAAUUUCUUUGCAUGCGAGGCGGAUAAAACCGAUUCCUGUAGUCAUUUUCUAAAAGUGGAAAGUAAUAAUUAUUAUAAAGUUAUUGCUCUUCAAAGGCAAUUCAAAUGAGGCUCUUGUUUUUUUGUCUUGUCGCUAAAAUUCCCAACACGGACUACAGCGUGAAUAAGUAGUUUUGCUUGUUUGUGUACAAAGGAUACACUGCAAUAAAUUAACUGCUCAUUAGUGGCAACCAUACUUCCUGUGAUACAGUUAGAUUAAUUGUAUUUGAGAUAGAAUAAAAUGACUAGUGUUUAUUACCUAAUAUCUGACAGAUAAAAUGUCAUCUAAUCGAGGCCUCACUAAGCACAGCCCACACAAAGAUACCAUUGAAAGGAAUGCACAUGCGAAACAGUGUUGUGUGUGUGUGUGUGCUUUCCUGCCAUGGAGCGUUUUGUAUACCAUUCUUGGUCAUACAUGGAUCACAAGCUCAAUCACUCUUACACCAUAGUAACCGAGUCUUUUUUUUUUUUUUCUUUCAACUCCAGCCUCCAAGAUGCUGCUUGCACUUGUUCACCCCUUUGGACUCUAUUGUCUCUGGAUGUACAAGUCAACACUGAAUGUGUCACCAGUGGUAGUAACAUCAAGGUCCAAAAUCCUCACAAGGUAUGUUUCUGAACACCAACUUGAACCGUGAUUUGUUCAUUUAUUGGACUAACUUUUGUUUCACCAUUUUUUGUUUGCAUGUUUGUCAUGGCUUCAUCAUUUCUCUUUUCAGAAAGAUGGGCAAAAUAGAGGUUAUUGGUCUGCUAGCUGCCCACUCCAAGGCAUAAGAAUCUCGGUGGUCACCAUAUUGACAACAGGCCCUGCUCCGCCGUGAGCGCAACGAGGGGCUGGCAGCAGAAGACCGCGAAAUUACGCCAACCGGACCUGUCAAAAGAGCCUCCCUGACGGCUGCGUGUAGUUGGGUGCAUUCGACGUGGGCUGCUUUUCCACAAGAUGUCGUGGUGCGGUCGUUUGCCAAAUGUGAAAUUUCGCUGGACGACGACGCACUGUGGGACCGCAGCAACGAUGACGAUGGCAGCACUAGUGAAGACGAGUAGUCCAGUGACCACGUCAGCUACUAAUAAAUUUUCGUUAUCGAAUGUGCCCUUGGGUAUGCUCCUUUUUUUUUUUUUUUUUCCUGUCACAUGAUAUAGGGGGGGGGGGGGGGGUCGACUUACAUUCGAGUCGACUUACAAUCGUGUAAAUACGGUAGGGAUGAAGCAUCGGAAAUAUGAGCACAGGCCGAUGAAGCUGCGAAGCUAUUUCAUGGUGGUUGGUUUUAGGGAACUCGGAUACGGCGCUAAGUUUUGUGGGGCCCGGGAGGAUACAGUCUUUUGACCUAGAUGGCCGAGAAUAGUAAGCGUGCAAGUGCCGAAGUGGCAUCUCUUCAAAUUUAGUUGCAGUCCUACAGUGGAGAGGCACGCAAGAACUUGCUCGUGGCGGCUGAGGUGCGAUGCGAAGUCAGUGGAAAAAACCACAAUGUCAUCUAAAUAACAGAGGCACGUUCAGCCCUCGAAGAAUGGUGUCCAUCAUUCGCUCGAAAGUGGCAGGCGCAUUGCAGAGGCCGAAUGGCAUGACAGUGAAUUCAUAUAGCCCAUCGGGAGUUACAAAGGCAGUCUUUUGGCGUUCGGCCUCUGCCAUUGGCACUUGCCAGUACCCGGAGCGUAGAUCCAGCGAGGAAAAAAAGUCCACUCCUUGCAGACUGUCCAAGGCAUCGUCGAUGCGUGGCAGAGGAUAGACAUCUUCGAGCGUUAUUCGGUUAAGGGGGCAAUAGUCAACGCAGAACCGAAUGGAGCCAUCUUUUUUUUAAUGAGGACAACCGGAGAUGCCCAGGGACUGUUAGAGGGCUGGAUGAUGCCAUGCUCCAGCAUGUCGUCAAUGGGCUGGUCGAUGACACGGCGUUCAGCGGCCGACACACGAUACAGACGCUGGCGCAAUGGUGUUUGUUGACUGGUGUCGAUACGGUGAACGACUGCGGACGCUCUGCCCAAGGAUGGUUGGCCAAUGUCAAGUGCUGUGCAGGUGUGACUUCUGCGUUGAUGGCACGUCUCCAGGAGCAUCGGUCGUGGCGGGAGGAGUGUUGGCACAAAUCGGAAGUGAUGCCGUAUCACCAAACAUGGGGGCCGGAAGAAUGCAAUCGAAAGGUUCAGAGGUACCCAGAAACUUGCCGCGGAGUAGGGUUGAUGGGCAGGCGGAUGAAUUGCACACGUAAAGGGCAGCAGAACCAUCGCAAAAAGUGACGACAGCAAAUGGAAGCAGAAAGUUCCGGCAGCGCACACAAGUGGCCGACGAUGUAAACUGAACAGAUGAGUUCGCAGCAGAGUUACAUGACACAGGAACCAGAGUGGCGGAGAAUGGUGCGAUAUCGAUAUCCGAGGCGGCAACAACUCUAGGAGAAUAAUGGUCGUCAGGGUCAAAACACGGCACUGAUAACGUAAGUUCAGCACGAGCGCAGUCGAUAAGAGCUUGAUUGACAGAUAGGAAAUUCCAUCCAAGAAUAACGUUGUGCGAGGAACUAGACAGGACGACAAAUUCGAUAACAUACAUAACACUUUGAAUGAUGACCCGGGCUGUGCACGACGCUGAAUGCGACACGAGGUUGCCGUACGGUGAGAAAGAGAGAUAAGAGGUAUGGUGACUUUGUUCAAAUUGCGGCAUAGCUUCUUUCUAAUAGAAACGGCGGCUCCGGUGUCGAUAAGUGCGUGAACGGUGACGCCGUCUACGAACAGUUCAAUUUCGUUGGCUGGUGCAGAAUGAGGCCUUGAAAUGUUUGACGUAAACGCAGUUCUUGCCUCUGGAACUGUGACUUAGUUUUCCUCUCGGGAUGGGCUGGGUUGGCGAACCAUCGGCGAAAUAGAUCAGCGACGUGGACAAGGCGACCGGCGUGAAUCGAAGGGGAGGCGAUUGUAAGACGAGUCCGGAGGAAGGUUAGAUUGGUCCUGACGCAGAAGUCGAACAGGCCUGUAGCUUGAGGCGCCCCCACUGUCAGGUAAAGAAGGGCUGCGACGGCGGCAGAAUCGUGCUACGUGGCCCGGAAAAUGGCAGGAAUAGCAUAUUGGCCGGUUAUCAGGUGUACGCCACGGGGACAACAGGGGCUUCAGUGGCCGAUUAAGGGACGACAAUCGGACGCGAAGGUGGCGGCGGCACAUGGAAGGUGCCGGUGACCCGGUAGGCAUCAGGAGCCAGAGGAGCGUAAGGCCAGGCGACAACGUCAGCGUAAGUUAGCGGUCCAGCUGCAGGCUGCGGAGAAGGGGCAGAUGGCAGCGCCACAGCAACUUGCGCCUGAAUGACAUGACGAAAUGAAGGAGCCAAGGGUGUCGACGGCUCGGGCGUGCUAUUCACCAGAGAGAGUUGGCGUGCGACUUCCUGACGGAAGAACUGCUUUAUCUCCGGCAUUAAAGCAGAGAUGUUGGCAGCGUCGCAGCCAAAAUCCAAUGGAGAUAAAUCCGCGGUGUCCUGCUGAGCAGCACGUGUGGAUGCACGCUGCAUGCGUAGCUCGUCGUACUGCUGACAAAGCUGUAUGACCUCGGCAAUCGUCCGGGGACUCUUCGCGACGAGCAUCUGGAAAGCAUGGUCAUUGAUGCCUUUCAUGACGUGCUUGAUCUUGUCAGCUUCGUCCAUAGAUGAGUUGACGUGCUUGCAGAGAGAGAUCACAUCUUCAGUAAACUGGUGAAGGUCUCGUCCUGGCGUUGAGCUCGACCACGCAAGCGCUGCUCAGCGCGGAGCCGGCGCACGGCAGGACGGCCAAAGACCUCAGCCAAAGUUGUCGUGAAAGCCGACCAGGUGGUAAAAUCGGCUUAAUGAUUGCGGAACCAUAGGUUUGCCAUGUCAGUCAAGUAAAAUAUGACAUUUAUGAGCUUGGCGCGGUUGUCCCACUUAUUAUAGGCGCUUACACGGUCAUAUUCGGCGAGCCAGUCUUCCACGUCAUGGUCAUCUGUGCCACUAAAUAUUGCCGGAUGACGCCAGAGCAGACGAUGGCCGGGGGCACAGGAGCAGCAGCCUGGGACAGUCCCGGUUCAUCCAUUGCAGUAGCUGGUGGUAGCGUCCGACUGCAGAGUUCCCGGAUGUCAAAGAGAAACCCAGCGCCUCCACCAAAUGCAAUGGGGGUGUUCGCCUAGCAGCACUCUAUAGUUAUAGGUUGUAGCAGUAGGCUUAAACAGGUCGGCGUUCUAUCGAAACGGGGAAGCAAGUACUUCUCGUUGUCUUCUUCUCAUUCACUAGCACCAUGCCCUCUGCCCAGUGCCUUAAGUACAGUUUAUUUAGUUUCCUUGUUUAUUCACAUAAUAUUUGCCGAAGUCCUUGUAAACGCUGUUGUCUCCGUAACUUUUCUUGCGUUCCUACAAGUACUCCAUUUGUGUCAAAGCAUUUACUGCCGCAUCUGAACACUAAACGUGCAGCAUAAGUAUCAAGAGCAGACAAUAUGUGCUGCAAAAUUAGCACGUUUUUUUUUCCCCCUGGACUACGUGCCACUCACCAAUGUGUUAUCAAAACAGUGGGGCAUUGCAGCUAGAGCAUAUCUUGCUGACAGCACAUCUUCGCCGAGCACAUCUUUUUUUUUUAUGUACCUGAAAUUGCCAAACGCAGACAAUAUACGUAUAGUAUGAAACACAUCAAGCCGCACUGUACGCAGCUACGAGUACAGCUGUAGCCCAGCAUAAAUAUUGCCUGCAGUAUCACUCUCCCUGCUGUACCGGCACGACAAACAUGAUGAGAAAUAUUCGCUUGAUUUAGCUUUCAGUUCCAUUAAAUAGAUGGUUAUCUGUGAUUCUGUAGAUUGUAAACCUAGUGACCGACAACAUUCAGUCCACCUGACCUGUAUGAAAACUGUGAGCAUGUACUGCUUCAUUUACCAUUGACAAUAAACAAUGUAAGCUUAG